GAGUGGUGGAAACACGUCUAAGUGCAAAUUUGAAGAAGCACCCGUUAAGGUGCGCCGGCU
rnacentral:tRNA from 1 species